rfam:Synechococcus sp. JA-2-3B'a(2-13), complete genome.
GGAAGGGUGACAGAGUGGUUGAUUGUGACGCUCUCGAAAAGCGUUGUGACUGCAAGGUCACCGUGGGUUCGAAUCCCACCCCUUCCG